rnacentral:snoRNA from 1 species
AUCCAUGACUCCAUGGGAGCUGCCGCGUGUGGCUGACUCCCUUCCUAGGCAUGGAAGAGCAGGAUCUUGCUAAUUGGCAAAACUUUUACCCUCUUGUGGGUAUGAGUCGUUGACUGUGGCAAGUGACAAAC